UUGGGUGAUUAUUGCGGCAGGGCUCACCUCUUCCCAUUUCGAACAGAGAAGUUAAGCCUGCCAGCGCCGAUGGUACUUCGAUAAGAGGGAGAGUAGGACGUCGCCACUU
rnacentral:rRNA from 1 species